rnacentral:tRNA from 1 species
GGUUUUAGCUUAAAUUAAAGUGUCUGAGUUGGUCAGAGGGUAUAUUUUAGAGUUUUACAGACCUU